GCCAGCCAUGCUAGGAAGCUAAUAUGAUAACAUUAAACUUGAUAAGUUACACCAAAAUCUCAAGAGUAGUUUGAGACUUCGAAAACUGUACAAAACAAAAGGUUGGGUGUAACUACAACAUUAUAUUUUCCAAAAAUAUUUACUUGACGCGCCCAUUCGAUCCUCUACGCGUCUCCAACCUUAGUUACCUGAAAAUGUUAAAUAUGGGAUGAGCAUAUGAAAUAUACUCAGUGUGGGAACAUGCAAUAAUUGUCCACGUUAAUAAAAUGGGAAUCACAUAUGAUCAAUACAUUCGUAACUGAAAGUCGCACGGUGGCAUACCAAGGACCUUUCCGUCUUGGACCGAUUGAGCCGGCCCCUGGCGACUGGUUGCAACCCUAACUUUAACAUGAAAUCGCAUUGUGGCAUACCAAGGACUGUGAAGUCCUGGACCCAUUGAGCGGGCCCCUAGCGAUAUAAUUUAAUGCAACAACACAUAUGGCAAACACAUAAUAUUAAAAUGGACAACAAUUAACCACAGCAUGUACUGAAAUAAAUCCCACACCUGAAACUUUAACUUUGAAAUUGACUGGGAGAAAUUAAAGUUCACGUUCCUAGUCGCGCCGCACCUAGUCAUAUAAAUUCAAAUAAUAAAACAUAAGGCCUAAUUGAUCUUUAUUAGCAAAAUAAUCUAUACUUUAGAAAAUUAUUCAUGAAAGUCUUUAAAAAAAAACUAAAAAAUUAGGAAAUGAUAAUUAAAGAAAUAAUUGUGGGCUUAAAUAAAUUAUACUUGCUAUUAAAAGAUUAACUAAGUCAAAAGCCCAAUAGAUUAAAAACAAAUAAGGCUCAAGCCCAUAC
rnacentral:lncRNA from 1 species